UACGUAGGGCGCGAGCGUUGUCCGGAAUCAUUGGGCGUAAAGAGCGUGUAGGCGGCUUCACAGGUCCGCUGUGAAAACUCGAGGCUCAACCUCGAGCUGUCGGUGGAAACCGUGUGGCUAGAGUCCGGAAGAGGAGAGUGGAAUUCCCGGUGUAGCGGUGAAAUGCGCAGAUAUCGGGAAGAACACCCGUGGCGAAGGCGGCUCUCUGGGACGGUACUGACGCUGAGACGCGAAAGCGUGGGGAGCGAACAGG
rnacentral:rRNA from 1 species